rnacentral:rRNA from 1 species
GACGAACGCUGGCGGCGUGCUUAACACAUGCAAGUCGAGCGGUAAGGCCCUUUCGGGGGUACACGAGCGGCGAACGGGUGAGUAACACGUGGGUGACCUGCCCUCAGCUCUGGGAUAAGCCUGGGAAACCGGGUCUAAUACCGGAUAUGACUCCAUGACGCAUGUUGUGGGGUGGAAAGCCUUGUGCGGCUGAGGAUGGGCCCGCGGCCUAUCAGCUUGUUGGUGGGGUGAUGGCCUACCAAGGCGACGACGGGUAGCCGGCCUGAGAGGGCGACCGGCCACACUGGGACUGAGACACGGCCCAGACUCCUACGGGAGGCAGCAGUGGGGAAUAUUGGACAAUGGGGGCAACCCUGAUCCAGCGACGCCGCGUGUGUGAAGAAGGCCUGCGGGUUGUAAAGCAC